UAUCAAUAAGCGGAGGAAAAGAAACCAACAGGGAUUGCCCUAGUAACGGCGAGUGAAGCGGCAACAGCUCAAAUUUGAAAGCUGGCUCUCGGGCCCGCAUUGUAAUUUGCAGAGGAUGCUUCUGGCGACGCGCCUUCCGAGUUCCCUGGAACGGGACGCCAUAGAGGGUGAGAGCCCCGUCCGGUCGUGCGCCUAGCCUCUGUGAAGCUCCUUCGACGAGUCGAGUAGUUUGGGAAUGCUGCUCAAAAUGGGAGGUAUACGUCUUCUAAAGCUAAAUACCGGCCAGAGACCGAUAGCGCACAAGUAGAGUGAUCGAAAGAUGAAAAGCACUUUGAAAAGAGAGUUAAAAAGUACGUGAAAUUGUUGAAAGGGAAGCGCUCAUGACCAGACUUGGGCUGGCUCGAUCAUCCGGCGUUCUCGCCGGUGCACUCGGGCCGCUCAGGCCAGCAUCAGCUUCCGCCGGGGGAUAAAGGCGGUGGGAAUGUGGCUCCCUCGGGAGUGUUAUAGCCCGCCGUGCAAUACCCUGGUGGGGGCUGAGGUUCGCGCGUAUGCACGGAUGCUGGCGUAAUGGUCAUCAGCGACCCGUCUUGAAACACGGACCAAGGAGUCGUCUUCGUAUGCGAGUGUUCGGGUGUCAAACCCCUACGCGGAAUGAAAGUGAACGCUGGUGAGAGCUUCGGCGCAUCACCGACCGAUCCUGAUGUUCUCGGAUGGAUUUGAGUAAGAGCAUACGGGGCCGGACCCGAAAGAAGGUGAACUAUGCCUGUAUAGGGUGAAGCCAGAGGAAACUCUGGUGGAGGCUCGCAGCGGUUCUGACGUGCAAAUCGAUCGUCAAAUAUGGGCAUGGGGGGCGAAAGACUAAUCGAACCUUCUAGUAGCUGGUUUCCGCCGAAG
rnacentral:rRNA from 1 species